CCUACGGGUGGCAGCAGUGAGGAAUAUUGGUCAAUGGACGAGAGUCUGAACCAGCCAAGUAGCGUGAAGGAUGACUGCCCUAUGGGUUGUAAACUUCUUUUAUAUGGGAAUAAAACGUUCCACGUGUGGGAUUUUGUAUGUACCAUAUGAAUAAGGAUCGGCUAACUCCGUGCCAGCAGCCGCGGUAAUACGGAGGAACCGAGCGUUAUCCGGAUUUAUUGGGUUUAAAGGGAGCGUAGGUGGAUUGUUAAGUCAGUUGUGAAAGUUUGCGGCUUAACCGUAAAAUUGCAGUUGAAACUGGCAGUCUUGAGUACAGUAGAGGUGAGCGGAAUUCGUGGUGUAGCGGUGAAAUGCUUAGAUAUCACGAAGAACUCCGAUUGCGAAGGCAGUUCACUGGACUGCAACUGACACUGAGGCUCGAAAGUGUGGGUAUCAAACAGGAUUAGAUACCCCUGUAGUC
rnacentral:rRNA from 1 species